ACCUACGGGGGGCAGCAGUGAGGAAUAUUGGUCAAUGGCCGAGAGGCUGAACCAGCCAAGUCGCGUGAGGGAUGACGGCCCUACGGGUUGUAAACCUCUUUUGUCGGGGAGCAAGACCCGCCUCGUGCAGGCGGAGCGAGAGUACCCGAAGAAAAAGCAUCGGCUAACUCCGUGCCAGCAGCCGCGGUAAUACGGAGGAUGUGAGCGUUAUCCGGAUUUAUUGGGUUUAAAGGGUGCGUAGGUGGUUAAUUAAGUCAGCGGUGAAAGUUUGUGGCUCAACCAUAAAAUUGCCGUUGAAACUGGUU
rnacentral:rRNA from 1 species